GGAAACGUACGUCGGCGCCUCCGGGUGCGGCGACUUCUUAGUGGCAGUGGCUGUGGCUGUGGCUGGGGUUGGUCCGAAGCGUGGUGCUCUUCCCUGGUGUCUUUCCGCUUAUCUCUUUCCUCCCUGGGCUCUCCGGCGCGAGGGACCAUCAUCACUGCCCCGAGGGAGGUUGUCCGCGCUGCCAGGCGCUGGGCAGCGGGCUCUCCGGGUGGCCGGGCGGGCGGCGCGGAGACGUCGGCGGGCCCGGUGUCUGCCUUGAGCGCCCGCGGUCCUAGCCUGCCUGUGCGCGCAGGUCACUGUCGAAUGGCACCAUUGUUGUGCAGAUGCUGAUGCCCAGUGUUGAGCCUGUCGUCUCCUACCUUAGGGGAAGUUCCCCUGGCCCUUCCCAACUACCUCCCCUGUGCAAGUUUAUUACAACUGAACGGCUUCAAGAAUGGAGUCUGUCUCUGUUGCCCAAGCUGGAGUGUGUUGGCACCAUCUUGGUUUACUGCAACUUCCACCUCCCAGGCUCAAGUGAUUCUCGUGCCUCAGCCUCAAGGGUAAGCUGAGAUUACAGGCUGGAGUGCAGUGGCAUGAUCUCACCUCACUGAAAACCUCCACCUCCAGGGUUCAAGUGAUUCUGCUACCUCAGCCUCCCAAAUAGCUGGGACUAUAGGCAUUUUCCCUACAUUUUCAAAGGCCUGCAUCAUCACACCUGCCGCAGCUUUCUCUA
rnacentral:antisense_RNA from 1 species